rnacentral:rRNA from 1 species
UUACGGGAGGCAGCAGUAGGGAAUCUUGCGCAAUGGGCGAAAGCCUGACGCAGCCAUGCCGCGUGAAUGAUGAAGGUCUUAGGAUUGUAAAAUUCUUUCACCGGGGAAGAUAAUGACGGUACCCGGAGAAGAAGCCCCGGCUAACUUCGUGCCAGCAGCCGCGGUAAUACGAAGGGGGCUAGCGUUGCUCGGAAUUACUGGGCGUAAAGGGCGCGUAGGCGGAUAUUUAAGUCGGGGGUGAAAGCCCGGGGCUCAACCUCGGAAUUGCCUUCGAUACUGGAUAUCUUGAGUUCGGGAGAGGUGAGUGGAAUGCCGAGUGUAGAGGUGAAAUUCGUAGAUAUUCGGCGGAACACCAGUGGCGAAGGCGACUCACUGGCCCGAUACUGACGCUGAGGCGCGAAAGCGUGGGGAGCAAACAGGAUUAGAUACCCCGGUAGC